UACGUAGGGGGCAAGCGUUGUCCGGAUUUAUUGGGCGUAAAGAGCGUGUAGGCGGCUUGGCAAGUCCGCUGUGAAAACUCGAGGCUCAACUUCGAGACGUCGGUGGAAACUGCCUCGCUAGAGUCCGGAAGAGGAGAGUGGAAUUCCUGGUGUAGCGGUGAAAUGCGCAGAUAUCAGGAAGAACACCCGUGGCUAAGGCGGCUCUCUAGUACGGUACUGACGCUGAGACGCGAAAGCGUGGGGAGCGAACAGG
rnacentral:rRNA from 1 species